CCUACGGGGGGCAGCAGUGGGGAAUAUUGGACAAUGGGGGCAACCCUGAUCCAGCCAUGCCGCGUGUGUGAAGAAGGCCCUCGGGUUGUAAAGCACUUUCAGUGAGGAAGAACGCCUGGUGGUUAAUACCCAUCAGGAAAGACAUCACUCACAGAAGAAGCACCGGCUAACUCCGUGCCAGCAGCCGCGGUAAUACGGAGGGUGCGAGCGUUAAUCGGAAUUACUGGGCGUAAAGCGCGCGUAGGUGGCUUGAUAAGCCGGUUGUGAAAGCCCCGGGCUCAACCUGGGAACGGCAUCCGGAACUGUCAAGCUAGAGUGCAGGAGAGGAAGGUAGAAUUCCCGGGGUAGCGGUGAAAUGCGUAGAGAUCGGGAGGAAUACCAGUGGCGAAGGCGGCCUUCUGGACUGACACUGACACUGAGGUGCGAAAGCGUGGGUAGCAAACAGGAUUAGAUACCCCGGUAGUC
rnacentral:rRNA from 1 species